GAGGUAGCAGCGGCGGGGGUCGAACACGAACCAGCGGCUGCGGAAGCCGCGCAGAGGCCCCUUGCCCGACAGCUUCUGCAGGACCUACUAGUCCACAAGACAGUGGUCACAGCACCAAACCAGACAAAGCUGAAGAGUUUGGAGCACACUCUCAGGCACCUGGAGUGACUCUUGGGGUGUCCUGUGCAGGGCCAGGAGCUGGACUCAGUGAUCCUGAGGGGUCAGCUCAGCAUCUUCUGUGAUUCUCUGAUUCCUUAAACAGAUGUCUCAGUAGGAGAUCAUUUCCUUGCAGCUGGGAUGGGGGGAAAUCUGCUCAGGUGGACAAGUCCAAGGUCAGACAUCUGGCUGCAGUGUCUCCUAAGGGCUUUGUGACCCAAGGAA